rnacentral:rRNA from 1 species
GAUGAACGCUGGCGGCGUGCCUAAUACAUGCAAGUCGAGCGAACAGACGAGAAGCUUGCUUCUCUGACGUUAGCGGCGGACGGGUGAGUAACACGUGGAUAACCUACCUAUAAGACUGGGAUAACUUCGGGAAACCGUAGCUAAUACCGGAUAAUAUUUUGAACCGCAUGGUUCAAUAGUGAAAGACGGUCUUGCUGUCACUUAUAGAUGGAUCCGCGCUGCAUUAGCUAGUUGGUAAGGUAACGGCUUACCAAGGCAACGAUGCAUAGCCGACCUGAGAGGGGGAUCGGCCACUCUGGAACUGAGCCACGGCCCGGACACCGAGGGGAGGCAGCGUUGGGGAAGCUUCCGAAAUGGGGGAAAGCCUGACGAAGCAACGCGGGGUGGGUGAUGAAGUGCUUCGGGUGGGAAAACGCUUUUAUUGGGGAAAACCAAAUUGGUAGGUAACUGUGCCCAUGUGAAGGGAACCGAUACAGAAGGCCAGGCUAAAUAAGUG